rnacentral:rRNA from 1 species
AUUGAACGCUGGCGGCAGGCUUAACACAUGCAAGUCGAGCGGAGAUGAGGUGCUUGCACCUUAUCUUAGCGGCGGACGGGUGAGUAAUGCUUAGGAAUCUGCCUAUUAGUGGGGGACAACAUUCCGAAAGGAAUGCUAAUACCGCAUACGUCCUACGGGAGAAAGCAGGGGAUCUUCGGACCUUGCGCUAAUAGAUGAGCCUGAGUCGGAUUAGCUAGUUGGUGGGGUAAAGGCCUACCAUGGCGACGAUCUGUAGCGGGUCUGAGAGGAUGAUCCGCCACACUGGGACGGAGACACGGCCCAGACUCCUACGGGAGGCAGCAGUGGGGAAUAUUGGACAAUGGGGGAAACCCUGAUCCAGCCAUGCCGCGUGUGUGAAGAAGGCCUUAUGGUUGUAAAGCACUUUAAGCGAGGAGGAGGCUACUGAGACUAAUACUCUUGGAUAGUGGACGUUACUCGCAGAAUAAGCACCGGCUAACUCUGUGCCAGCAGCCGCCGUAA